GACGAACCGUGCGAACGUUGUUCGGAAUCACUGGGCUUAAAGGGCGCGUAGGCGGCGCGGUAAGUCACUUGUGAAAUCUCUGAGCUUAACUCAGAACGGCCAAGUGAUACUGCAGUGCUAGAGUGCAGAAGGGGCAAUCGGAAUUCUUGGUGUAGCGGUGAAAUGCGUAGAUAUCAAGAGGAACACCUGAGGUGAAGACGGGUUGCUGGGCUGACACUGACGCUGAGGCGCGAAAGCCAGGGGAGCAAACGGG
rnacentral:rRNA from 1 species